AGUCGACGAUGAAGCCUAGCUUGCUGGGUGGAUUAGUGGCGAACGGGUGAGUAACACGUGAGCAACCUGCCCCUGACUCUGGGAUAAGCGCUGGAAACGGCGUCUAAUACUGGAUAUGUCCCAUCACCGCAUGGUGUGUGGGUGGAAAGAUUUUUCGGUUGGGGAUGGGCUCGCGGCCUAUCAGCUUGUUGGUGAGGUAAUGGCUCACCAAGGCGUCGACGGGUAGCCGGCCUGAGAGGGUGACCGGCCACACUGGGACUGAGACACGGCCCAGACUCCUACGGGAGGCAGCAGUGGGGAAUAUUGCACAAUGGGCGGAAGCCUGAUGCAGCAACGCCGCGUGAGGGAUGACGGCCUUCGGGUUGUAAACCUCUUUUAGCAGGGAAGAAGCGAGAGUGACGGUACCUGCAGAAAAAGCACCGGCUAACUACGUGCCAGCAGCCGCGGUAAUACGUAGGGUGCAAGCGUUAUCCGGAAUUAUUGGGCGUAAAGAGCUCGUAGGCGGUCUGUCGCGUCUGCUGUGAAAUUCCGAGGCUCAACCUCGGGCUUGCAGUGGGUACGGGCAGACUAGAGUGCGGUAGGGGAGAUUGGAAUUCCUGGUGUAGCGGUGGAAUGCGCAGAUAUCAGGAGGAACACCGAUGGCGAAGGCAGAUCUCUGGGCCGUAACUGACGCUGAGGAGCGAAAGGGUGGGGAGCAAACAGGCUUAGAUACCCUGGUAGUCCACCCCGUAAACGUUGGGAACUAGUUGUGGGGUCCUUUCCACGGAUUCCGUGACGCAGCUAACGCAUUAAGUUCCCCGCCUGGGGAGUACGGCCGCAAGGCUAAAACUCAAAGGAAUUGACGGGGACCCGCACAAGCGGCGGAGCAUGCGGAUUAAUUCGAUGCAACGCGAAGAACCUUACCAAGGCUUGACAUACACGAGAACGGGCCAGAAAUGGUCAACUCUUUGGACACUCGUGAACAGGUGGUGCAUGGUUGUCGUCAGCUCGUGUCGUGAGAUGUUGGGUUAAGUCCCGCAACGAGCGCAACCCUCGUUCUAUGUUGCCAGCACGUAAUGGUGGGAACUCAUGGGAUACUGCCGGGGUCAACUCGGAGGAAGGUGGGGAUGACGUCAAAUCAUCAUGCCCCUUAUGUCUUGGGCUUCACGCAUGCUACAAUGGCCGGUACAAUGGGCUGCAAUACCGUGAGGUGGAGCGAAUCCCAAAAAGCCGGUCCCAGUUCGGAUUGAGGUCUGCAACUCGACCUCAUGAAGUCGGAGUCGCUAGUAAUCGCAGAUCAGCAACGCUGCGGUGAAUACGUUCCCGGGUCUUGUACAC
rnacentral:rRNA from 1 species